rnacentral:lncRNA from 1 species
UAGGACGCGCGCGCACAUUACAUACAUAGGCAAGAGCGUUCCUAUACUUAAGUGCCAAAGUGACAUUCACUCCAAGGGGUUUUAGUUAUUCCGCUAUACGCUUGCUCUCUGCUACACUCGAGCGAUGUUUUUCACUAUAUUCACGACACCGAGAAAAGAAUAAUCAUGGUGGCGGCGGUGGCGGUGGUGUAGUGGUGGUGUAGUGUGGCAAAAGCGUACAGCCGCGAAAUUCGAUGCGUUUAAUAAUGGUGUUACAAGUGCGAUAGAUAAGGUCGAAAGCACGAUGGAUCGAUAUUGAGCGUUAAAUUAUAUCUUCUUGAUUCUAAUAACUAUUACAUUUAUCUAUCAAACAGUUUGAUGUUUAAAAUUGUUUUUAACUGUAACUAACUGCUAUUUCGAUGUGUUCAUAUUUAGUAUAAUCAAAAAGUGUCGUCAUCGUCAAAGAAAGAAUAAACGAACGAAGAGAAGAGGGAUCGGCAAAGUGGCACCUAUCGGAUGUAUGCACCUCUUGGUACCACAUGGUACCGAUAUUAACGCUACGUUCACACUAUUAAAUUCUAACCUUUAAUUUGCUUAGACUCGAUUAAAGCGAUUAGAGGAAGUAGAUUACAUUAUGUUACAGAGGACAUAGGUAUGAUACAAAAUCGAACGUUGUUCUAUUAUUGUAUCACAUUUUUAUUUCUCUAUAUUCUUUUAAACAAUAUACUACCACUUGAUUUAUUGUUUGUUUCGAUGAAAAGAUGAAAAUAAAGCUAGUAAAGAACUUCAUUUAUCGACGUAUUUUCUCUUUGAUAAAAAUAAAAUGGAUGAAUAUUUAAAAAUA